rnacentral:rRNA from 1 species
AUUGAACUCUGGCGGCAGGCCUAACACAUGCAAGUCGAGCGAGCGGCGGACGGGUGCGUAAUGGCUGGGAAACUGCCUGAUGGAGGUGGAUAACUACUGGAAACGGUAGCUAAUACCGCAUACCAUCAGAUGUGCCCAGAUGGGAUUAGCUGGUAGGUGUGGUAACGGCUCACCUAGGCGACGAUCCCUAGAUGGUCUGAGAGGAUGACCAGCCACACUGGAACUGUGACACGGUCCCGACGCCUACGGGAGGCAGCAGUGGGGAAUAUUGCACAAUGGGCGCAAGCCUGAUGCAGCCAUGCCGCGUGUGUGAAGAAGGCCUUCGGGUUGUAAAGCCCUUUCAGCGGGGAGGCGUUACCCGCAGAAGAAGCACCGGCUAACUCCGUGCCAGCAGCCGCGGUAAUAC